GGGUUGUGAGGUUAAGCGACUAAGCGUACACGGUGGAUGCCCUGGCAGUCAGAGGCGAUGAAGGACGUGCUAAUCUGCGAUAAGCGCCGGUAAGGUGAUAUGAACCGUUAUAACCGGCGAUUUCCGAAUGGGGAAACCCAGUGUGAUUCGUCACACUAUCAUUAACUGAAUCCAUAGGUUAAUGAGGCGAACCGGGGGAACUGAAACAUCUAAGUACCCCGAGGAAAAGAAAUCAACCGAGAUUCCCCCAGUAGCGGCGAGCGAACGGGGAGGAGCCCAGAGCCUGAAUCAGCAUGUGUGUUAGUGGAAGCGUCUGGAAAGGUGCGCGAUACAGGGUGACAGCCCCGUACACAAAAGCGCAUGUGCUGUGAGCUCGAUGAGUAGGGCGGGACACGUGGUAUCCUGUCUGAAUAUGGGGGGACCAUCCUCCAAGGCUAAAUACUCCUGACUGACCGAUAGUGAACCAGUACCGUGAGGGAAAGGCGAAAAGAACCCCGGCGAGGGGAGUGAAAAAGAACCUGAAACCGUGUACGUACAAGCAGUGGGAGC
rnacentral:rRNA from 2 species